rnacentral:rRNA from 1 species
AUUGAACGCUGGCGGCAGGCCUAACACAUGCAAGUCGAACGGCAGCACAGAAGAGCUUGCUCUUUGGGUGGCGAGUGGCGGACGGGUGAGUAAUGUCUGGGAAACUGCCCGAUGGAGGGGGAUAACUACUGGAAACGGCAGCUAAUACCGCAUAACGUCGCAAGACCAAAGGGGGGGACCUUCGGGCCUCACACGCUCGGAGGGGCCCAGGUGGGAUUAGCUAGUAGGUGGGGUAAUGGCUCACCUAGGCGACGAUCCCUAGCUGGUCUGAGAGGAUGACCAGCCACACUGGAACUGAGACACGGUCCAGACUCCUACGGGAGGCAGCAAUGGGGAAUAUUGCACAAUGGGCGCAAGCCUGAUGCAGCCAUGCCGCGUGUAUGAAGAAGGCCUUCGGGUUGUAAAGUACUUUCAGCGGGGAGGAAGGCGGUGAGGUUAAUCACCUUGCCGAUUGACGUUACCCGCAGAAGAAGCACCGGCUAACUCCGUGCCAGCAGCCGCGGUAA